rnacentral:rRNA from 1 species
UACGUAGGGUGCGAGCGUUGUCCGGAAUUAUUGGGCGUAAAGAGCUCGUAGGCGGUUUGUCGCGUCUGCUGUGAAAACCCGAGGCUCAACCUCGGGCCUGCAGUGGGUACGGGCAGACUAGAGUGCGGUAGGGGAGAUUGGAAUUCCUGGUGUAGCGGUGAAAUGCGCAGAUAUCAGGAGGAACACCGGUGGCGAAGGCGGGUCUCUGGGCAAUAACUGACGCUGAGGAGGGAAAGCGUGGGGAGCGAACAGG